CAGGGAUUGCCCUAGUAACGGCGAGUGAAGCGGCAACAGCUCAAAUUUGAAAUCUGGCGUCUUUGGCGUCCGAGUUGUAAUUUGCAGAGGGCGCUUUGGCAUUGGCAGCGGUCCAAGUUCCUUGGAACAGGACGUCACAGAGGGUGAGAAUCCCGUACGUGGUCGCUAGCCUUUACCGUGUAAAGCCCCUUCGACGAGUCGAGUUGUUUGGGAAUGCAGCUCUAAAUGGGAGGUAAAUUUCUUCUAAAGCUAAAUACUGGCCAGAGACCGAUAGCGCACAAGUAGAGUGAUCGAAAGAUGAAAAGCACUUUGGAAAGAGAGUUAAAAAGCACGUGAAAUUGUUGAAAGGGAAGCGCUUGCAGCCAGACUUGCCUGUAGUUGCUCAUCCGGGUUUCUACCCGGUGCACUCUUCUAUAGGCAGGCCAGCAUCAGUUUGGGCGGUUGGAUAAAGGUCUCUGUCAUGUACCUCCUUUCGGGGAGAACUUAUAGGGGAGACGACAUGCAACCAGCCUGGACUGAGGUCCGCGCAUCUGCUAGGAUGCUGGCGUAAUGGCUGUAAGCGGCCCGUCUUGAAACACGGACCAAGGAGUCUAACAUCUAUGCGAGUGUUUGGGUGUCAAGCCCGAGCGCGUAAUGAAAGUGAACGGAGGUGGGAACCUUUCGGGGUGCACCAUCGACCGAUCCUGAUGUCUUCGGAUGGAUUUGAGUAAGAGCAUAGCUGUUGGGACCCGAAAGAUGGUGAACUAUGCUUGAAUAGGGUGAAGCCAGAGGAAACUCUGGUGGAGGCUCGCAGCGGUUCUGACGUGCAAAUCGAUCGUCAAAUUUGGGCAUAGGGGCGAAAGACUAAUCGAACUAUCUAGUAGCUGGUUCCUGC
rnacentral:rRNA from 1 species